GAAAUUUCAUCUCACGUGGAUAGUUACAAAGGAAUCUUUUGCUGGCAUGGUGUGUUUUUUCAAGGUGAAUUCGCGUGACCUUUCAUGAAAAAGAUAUGCCUCUUGUCCUCAUGCUACUAGUUGCUGAGACAAAGAUCCUUCAUUUUCUUGCCUUCCAAUGAUGCACGAAAAGCUCUUCAAAAAUAUUGUUUCUGGUAUUAUAUUCAGCAUUAUAUCUACGAUGAUUCCUGGAAGAUGUGUUUCAUACAAGAGUUCUUUUAGGACAAUUUUAAGUCACAUUAUGUUAAUAUUGUCGUAUUACCAAGUACUUUCUAGUGCGCGUGUUAUUGAGUUCUUCUUGCACUUAAGCCAAUGAUAACUGGUUUCUUCAAACUAAAGAGCUGCACUUGAAAGGAGGUGGGCUGCGGAGGGUCCUCAAGGAAGCGAGGCAAUUUUUGCUUUAUGCGUUUCCAGAUAGCACUCUGCAACAAACCCCACCUGCCUACUGAUUACGAGCUUAAGAUCCCACAUGUUAAACGUCUCCUGAAGAAAACUGAUUUGAGCAGGAGUGCAAGAAUGCAGUAUAUGUUUUGACUGAAUGAGAAUAUAUGCUUUUGUUUCUACCUUUUGUGCAGUGCCAAAAAGUCGCUACUAAGAUUUAUAAGCUCUGUGUAAGCCUUCUUGCAGUUCUUCCUGGAGCACAUUUCUUCUCUACUAAAAAUUCGUAUUUCUAUUGGUGCGCUUACAACUGAUCAGCCUGUCAUCAGUCUGUAUUAUUGACAAAGGCUCAGCUGGUUUCACCAUAUCCCAGAUCUCUUCACAUAAACUUUCAUCAAGAGAUCCUAGUUUGCUGCCUCGAUCAUAGUCCUCUUCUUCAUGAUUGGAACAAUUACUCAACUUCAGAUAACAAGAAGAUUAUGCUGAAACCAAUAGGGAUAUAGAGCAACUAAGAUUAUAGUCCACCGAUGCAUGUAUGCUUGGAAGUUCUUCAAUUUAGGUGAGCCAAUGAAUCUAGCAACUUGUGAAUCGUAGAUUGUGCUGUAGAAACACAAGCAGGACUGCUCACAUUGCAUCCCAAUCUCCAA